rnacentral:lncRNA from 1 species
UUUACAGCGCACAAUUCGAUCCUUCCCACAGGCCACAGGUGAUAGAAGGUGAAGUAUGUGCCAAGAUACAUUUGCUGUCUGUUGUUAGUUGGCCAAUGGUUGAGCAGAAUGCCAUGUGAUCUCUCUUUUUCUCCAAGGUGAUGGCUAUUGCUUGAUCAUCCUUAAUAACUUGCGCCACGUAAGGAGAUAACGAACAUGGGUGAGGCUUCGUUCAUGUUCGUUUGUAAAGGAAAUGAAGUUGUUCAAGUUUGUUUAUAUUUACCUAUACGCUAAAUGAACAUUUCACACAUGACACACGUGAAGUUGCGUGUGGAUACACACACAUAGAGAAGGGCAAAUUCAAUACAUAACUAAUUA